GGUUACAACCCAGUAUCUCAAGGUACUAAGGGUGUCUGGCCAGCCAUUCGUGGUCGUGCCACAAACCUAAAUUUUUGGAAUGCCACUCCGGGGUAUCCGGUGGGGCGAC
rfam:Angiostrongylus cantonensis strain Taiwan genome assembly, scaffold: ACAC_scaffold0001871